UACGUAGGGUGCAAGCGUUGUCCGGAAUUAUUGGGCGUAAAGAGCUCGUAGGCGGCUUGUUGCGUCGGAUGUGAAAGCCCGGGGCUUAACUCCGGGUCUGCAUUCGAUACGGGCAGGCUAGAGUUCGGUAGGGGAGAUCGGAAUUCCUGGUGUAGCGGUGAAAUGCGCAGAUAUCAGGAGGAAUACCGGUGGCGAAGGCGGCAUCCUGGACCGACAUUGACGCUGAGGAGCGAAAGCUAGGGGAGCAAACGGG
rnacentral:rRNA from 1 species